GGGUCAGUAGGUUGGUCGUGCCACCGGUACGUACUGGUCUCACUGAUUCCUCCUUCCUGAAGAACUGUAAUGCCAUUAAUUUGGUGUUGCGGGGAAACAGGACUGUUACUUUGAAAAAAUUAGAGUGUUUAAAGCAAGCUAACGCUUGAUUACAUUAGCAUGGAAUAAUGAAAUAGGACGAUCGAUCCUAUUUUGUUGGUUUCUAGGAUUGACGUA
rnacentral:rRNA from 1 species